rnacentral:rRNA from 1 species
AUGAACGCUGGCGGCGUGCCUAAUACCUGCAAGUCGAACGAAACUUCUUUAUCACCGAGUGCUUGCACUCACCGAUAAAGAGUUGAGUGGCGAACGGGUGAGUAACACGUGGGCAACCUGCCCAAAAGAGGGGGAUAACACUUGGAAACAGGUGCUAAUACCGCAUAACCAUAGUUACCGCAUGGUAACUAUGUAAAAGGUGGCUAUACUACCGCUUUUGGAUGGGCCCGCGGCGCAUUAGCUAGUUGGUAGGGUAAAGGCUUACCAAGGCAAUGAUGCGUAGCCGAAUUGAGAGGUUGAUCGGCCACAUUGGGACUGAGACACGGCGCAAACUCCUACGGGAGGCAGCAGUAGGGAAUCUUCCACAAUGGGCGAAAGCCUGAUGGAGCAACGCCGCGUGGGUGAAGAAGGUCUUCGGAUCGUAAAACCCUGUUGUUAGAGAAGAAAGUGCGUGAGAGUAACUGUUCACGUUUCGACGGUAUCUAACCAGAAAGCCACUGCUAACUACGUG